rnacentral:piRNA from 1 species
UUAGAUGGAGUUGGUCAAAUGAGG